rnacentral:siRNA from 1 species
UUAACACUUCUUAACAGCUCUCC